rnacentral:rRNA from 1 species
AACGAACGCUGGCGGCAUGCCUAACACAUGCAAGUCGAACGAGACCUUCGGGUCUAGUGGCGCACGGGUGCGUAACGCGUGGGAAUCUGCCCUUGGGUUCGGAACAACAGUUGGAAACGACUGCUAAUACCGGAUGAUGACUUCGGUCCAAAGAUUUAUCGCCCAGGGAUGAGCCCGCGUAGGAUUAGCUUGUUGGUGAGGUAAAAGCGCACCAAGGCGACGAUCCUUAGCUGGUCUGAGAGGAUGAUCAGCCACACUGGGACUGAGACACGGCCCAGACUCCUACGGGAGGCAGCAGUGGGGAAUAUUGGACAAUGGGCGAAAGCUUGAUCCAGCAAUGCCGCGUGAGUGAUGAAGGCCUUAGGGUUGUAAAGCUCUUUUACCCGGGAUGAUAAUGACAGUACCGGGAGAAUAAGCCCCGGCUAACUCCGUGCCAGCCGCCGCAGUAACAC